rnacentral:tRNA from 1 species
GGGUUAGUAACUUAAUUGGCAAAGGAUUUUCUUGAGAAAAUAGAUAUCGGAUCGUAGCCGAUUUAACCCG